rnacentral:rRNA from 1 species
UACGUAGGGAGCAAGCGUUGUCCGGAAUUACUGGGUGUAAAGGGAGCGUAGGCGGGAUGGCAAGUUGGGUGUUAAAUCUACCGGCUCAACUGGUAGUCGCACUCAAAACUGCUAUUCUUGAGUGAAGUAGAGGCAGGCGGAAUUCCUAGUGUAGCGGUGAAAUGCGUAGAUAUUAGGAGGAACACCAGUGGCGAAGGCGGCCUGCUGGGCUUUUACUGACGCUGAGGCUCGAAAGUGUGGGGAGCAAACAGG